UUGAAUGUUUACUCGUUCAAUUUGAACGGCUAAAUUUAAUACUUAUUGUUAAUUAUUGUUAUUACUAUAGAAUAACGAAAUAUAUUUUUUUCUUUUUUGUUUUAUAUCUUCUUUUUUUUUCUCUUUUUUUUCUCUUCUUUUUUUUUGUCUUUCUUUUCCGAUCAUAACAUACAUUUGCGCAAUUUUAAGCCGUCAUCAUAUAAAAAUGUAAGUUUUUUAGCGCGCUUUUGUAUUUCUAGGGAAAUGUACAAAGGUAUGUAUUUGAAACUAGCAGACUUAAACAAUAAAGGACAUACGAUACGUUCGAACGUGCUAUCCAAUAUUAUUCAUAAUAUACGUUAUUUAAUUAAUAACAAAAGUAGGUAACAAUUGAAAAAGUCAUGUCAACCCACGCUGAUUAUUACUGAUAAAAUUAAUAAUAACAGAUAAAUAAUACCUAUUGUUUUCGCGAAAAUUGUGCAUUAUCAAUAUUGUUAAUAAAAAAAAAAAAAAAAAAAAAAAAAAAACCGAGAAAAAGGAAAAAUAAUUAUGCAGGACAUUUCUGGAAGAUGUGAGGAUGUACAAAAGAUAAUAUUAUCCUUGUUAGUUACCCGGAAGGAUGCAAUACCUUUGGGAGAACUUGCUAAAGAUUAUCAAGAUCAAGAAGGUGAAUCUAUACCAUGGAAAGAAUUUGGGUAUAUUACAUUAUUGGAUUAUCUGAAAAGCAUGCCAAAAUAUGUAUCGCUUGAAAGAUUAAAUGGUAUAUAUUAUGUUCGAGGUGUUGCUUCUGAAAAAUCUAAACAUGUUAGCUCAUUGGUAGCUCGACAAAAAAUAUCAUUAAAAAAACAAAGCCACAUACGGAGAACAUAUAGACCCAGUUAUUAUUAUCCAAAGACAACAACUCCGAGAGUUCAUAUACCUGCAGAAAUUUUGAGUAACAUAAUAUCUAUGGUUAAACAAAAUCCAAAUGGUAUUAAUAAAGAGUAUAUUUUACAAUAUGUCAAUGAUAAAUUACCAUGUAUAAAUAUAUCUGUUAUGGAUCUUGAUGAGCAAAUAAAAAGUUUGUCGCACGAGUUAUUUAUUAAAGGCAAUCGAAUCUUAUCAUGGAAGAAAAAGACAAAAUCUAUAUCUGAUCAAUUUAUAUCUAAAAAAAUGUUAUCCAAGGGAAAAAAACUUAAUCUAGAAUCUGAAGAUUCUGUGGUAUUAUCGAAAUAUAUUGUUAGUGGGGAAACUGAUUCUAAUGUAGAAUCGGAUAUUGAGAAUGAAGACAGUAUUACAUAUGUUAAUUCAAAGUUGCGACACAAUAGUGAAAAUAAAAAAAAAAUCUCGAACAAGAAACAAACUAUUUCUAUGUUUAUACAAGAGACUGUAUCUAGAUUUAAUAAUCAAGAUAAUAAGCUUAAUGAUAAAUCUAGAUUUGAUAACGAGGAAAUUAAACAUAAUAAUUCAGAGAACAAUGUUAGUUUACAGACUCCUUUCAAAAAAUUACAAGAUGAUGUUACUUAUUUAGAUAACGAAGAUAUAAAACUCCUUAUAAGUGAUAGAACAAGAUUUCGAUUAGAAAAACUUAUUCAAAAAUAUCCAAAUGGUAUUUGGUGUGCUGAACUUCCUGAAAAAUAUAUGGAAGAAUAUAAUGUACCUUUGAAUUAUAUUGAAUUAGGUUUCAACAGUGUACGAGAAUUUGCAUCAUGUUUGCCAGAUAUCUUUCAAUGUAAACAAUUUCGUCCAUCGACGGAUUUUAUACUUUAUGAUGCAAAAAUUAAAUUGUCUGAUACAAAAACAGUUAAUAAAACGAAAUUUCAAAAUAUAGCUGAACUAUAUACUCAAUCAUAUUUAGAAGAAGAUGAAGUAGAGGCUUUACCUGUUGUAGUAUCAAGCGAUACAUCUAAUAAAUUAAUGCCAGAAGGAGUAAUGAUUAUAGGAGAAUGUGUAGGGCAAAUAAAUGUAACGGAUUUAGAAAAUAUAACACAGCCAUACAUAGAAAUUUUUGUUGAAGAAGUCUUUACACCAUCAUUAUUUUGGAUACAACUUCGUAAGAAAAAAAAACUUUUUAAUAAACUAAUGGAAGAUAUUCAUAAAUUUUAUCAAGAAAAAUUCAUGAAUUAUAAAAUUCCUCCUGUUGUACUUGAAAAAGGUUUAAACUGUGCAUGUAAAUAUAAUGAUAUAUGGCACAGAGGGAUAAUUAAAACUGUUAAACCUGAUUUGCAAAUAACUGUAAUGUUCUAUGAUUAUGGAACAUUAAAAACUUAUCCUCCUGAGGAAAUAUAUUAUCUACAUAGAUUAUUUUCAUAUUUACCAGCUCAAGCAAUACCAUGUGGUCUGUACAAUAUUAAACCACAUAAUGGAGAGCAAUGGUCUAAGGGUGUUACUUAUGAAUUUGCUGAAAAAACUUGUACUAAACCUCUUAUUGCAACUAUAGUAUCAACUGAUCCAGAGAAUAAUUCUAUGUUGGUAACUUUGACCGAUACAAUGGAAGAAGAGGAUGUACAUAUCAAUGAUUGGAUGGUUCAUCAAAAUUUGGCAGUACAUGGACAAAUGGGUGAUGUAGUCGAUAUGAGUAAUUUAAUGUUAUUUGUUGAGGAAAAUUUACUUUAUGCCUCAGAGAAAUGUUAUGGAAAGGAUUGCAUUACUCCUACAGUAGAGAAUAAUAAAAACUGUAUAGAAAGUUUGAUGAACAUUCCCCUUAUAUCACCCCAAAGUACAUUGUGUGAAAAAACAGUUGAAAUAUUGCCUAAUUCAUCAUUAUCUACUGAAUCAUUCAAUUUGUUAAUGAAUAUGGAUAAUAAUCCAUUUUUAAAUGAAUACAAUGGUGAAUGCAAUGGUGAGAAUAUACAAUCAAAUAUAAAAAAACCAUCUACCAAUCCUUUCUUGGAAGAUGUAAAUAACCAGAAGAAUUUUACUAAUAUUUUAUCACCACAAAUGUUUAUGCAAAUUUGGAAGACAAAUCAAAGAUUUCAAAUGCAAAUAAUAACUAUGUUUAAUAUUCUUCUUGGAAAAAUAGAUUCAACUUCUGUUAACAUUCAUUCAUCAGAAAGUGAAAUAAAGAAAAGUUAUGAGGAACGUUUACUUUAUGCUUCUGAAUUUUUGAAGAAUAUAAUUUCAAAAGAAGAUAUAUCAUCUUUAUUAAUAUCAAAACCAGCAAACUGUUUUAAUAAUAUUGCAAUUGAUACUAGUUCUAACAAAAGUAAUGGAAUAUCUGUACCUUUAUUUGCAAAUAAUAAUGAUUAUAUUACUACUAAACAUUCAGAAAUCAAUGACAAUAACAUAAACAAAGUACAAUCGGAAGAAAUAAAUGAAAUGAAUGGUAUUACUUCAAAUUCUAAACCACAAGUUCCAUGUAUCCAAUCUCUUUUUAUGGGAGAAAAUAUAAGUGCUAUUACAGAUUCAUCCAAUGGAAGAUCAGCUAUAAAUGAAUUCAAAACGAACAUAUCUGCUUUCCCAUAUCAGAAUGAUUUUAAAGAUAACAAAAACGAUCAGUUUAACGCAUUGGGAUCAGUACUAAAAAAUGAAAUAAUAUAUAACGAAUUUAAUGAAACCAAUCCUUUCAAAAUAUUAUUAAAAUUGAAAGAUUACAAAGACUCAAAUGUAAUUCAAGUAGAAAAUGAAAACCUUGAUAUAGAGAAAUAUUAUUCAUUAGAUUGUACUAAUUUUGAUAAAAAUUAUAUUGAAAUUAAUAAUACACAUGAUCGUAGAUCAAUGAUACAAUACAACGAUUAUACACCAUUUACUUCUAACUGUAUAUAUGAUUCUUUCUAUCCAGAAUUUAUAUCAACUAAUAAUACUAAUCCAUAUGCUUUAUUCAAAAAUAAGGAAGAUAUGACUUUUCAAUCUGAAGAUAGAUUUGUAGAUAAUCUACAAAGUAUAAAAAGUGAUUUCCAUUUUAAACAAGAAUUUGAAACAUCAAAUGGAAACUCUAAUAUAUCAUUAUUUUCUGAAAAUGAUUAUUUUCAAUCUUCUAAUAAUUAUUCUACAUCAUUGAAAAAUAAUAAAAUAGAACAAUUAAUUAAUCCAAAAUUUUCAUUACCAAUAAAUAAAUUAUCGAUAGCAGAUGAAGAAUUUCCGAGGUUUGAUAAAUUAAAUAUUAUAUCUAACUCAGUGAUGUAUACAAAUUUGUUAGAUGGAAAAGAUAUUAAAGAAUCAAAACUUAAUAAUUCACAAAGACUAACAAAUAUUUCUACACGAACUUGGAUCAAAGAUACAGAGAAUACAAUGUCAUCACAAGUAAAUAUUCAGAAUGAAAAUUAUACAAAUCAAUCAUUGAUUAAUUCAUUAAAAUUAGUAAAUAUAGAUCAACAGUUCCAAGCAACCCUAGAUAAUACUAAUCAUGAGGAGCCAAUUAAAAAUUUGGAUUCAGAGUUAACAAGUGUUCCAUAUAGAGAACAUAUAUAUGAUGAUACAAAAUAUUUUAAUUGUCCUACAGAAAAUAAUUUAGAUUUUCAGAUUGACAAGGGAAAGUUUCAAAUUAAUACAUAUUCAAAUGCUAUCAAUUGUGAGAAACAGCAUGUAGAAAAUGAACAUAAUGCAAAUGAAGAUAAAAUUACUAAUGAAAAAAUAAAUAUUCCUUAUUAUGAAUAUUUAAUAAGUACUAACAAGGGAUUAGCAAAGAUUUUUUUUCGAAUAGCAGAAAUAACAAAUAAAAAAUUAUGCAUAUUUCAUUUUGAAAAUGAAGGAUGGUUAUUAACUAACGAUUUUGUAGAAGCAUUUACUACUUAUACAACAGUUUCAGAAUAUUAUAAACAAUUGCAAAUUUGUCAUUUAAAUAUCAAUUUUAAACAAAUCAAUAGAUUAGAUAGUCUAACUGCAUUUUUUCAACUCGAUAAAAUGCUGUUAAAUGUAUCUCGAGAUAAAGCAAACAGGAUUAAUAAUAUUCACUUGAUGCCUUUAAAAUCUAUUAUUACAGUUCUUAUAAAACUAAAAAUUGUUACAUCAGAAGAAGUAAAUAAAGUUAAUAUAACAACAGGAUUUAGAAGAAAUUCAAUUUUACAGAAAGUAUGGAUUUUGAUUAGAUUUUAUGGACAGUUAAAACAUUUUGUGCAAAAAAGAAUUGAUAAAUGAACAUUAAACACAACUUAAUAAUGAUCAUCAGAAUACAUUAAUCUGAUAAUCACAAUACAUUAAUUGGGUUAAUGCAAAAUUGAAUUAAUCUUAAUUAGGAUAGUAUGAAAAAAUAUUUUGUUUACAACUUGUAUAUAGAAAAUAUACAAAUGACAUGUAUUAGACAGGAUAUCCAAUACAAAGAGUUGUGCUA